UACGGGAGGCAGCAGUGAGGAAUAUUGGUCAAUGGGCGAGAGCCUGAACCAGCCAAGUAGCGUGCAGGAAGACGGCCCUACGGGUUGUAAACUGCUUUUAUGCGGGGAUAAAGUGCGCCACGUGUGGCGUUUUGCAGGUACCGCAUGAAUAAGGACCGGCUAAUUCCGUGCCAGCAGCCGCGGUAAU
rnacentral:rRNA from 1 species